rnacentral:rRNA from 1 species
AAUACAGUACUUGUUAUGCCUUAUUAAAAAAAAGUUUUAUAACAUAAGGAAUUAUAACAAAGAAGCAACACAUAAAAUAUGAAUGUCAUAUUUUUUAGUGUGUAUCAAUCGAGUUUCUGACCUAUCAGCUUUUGAUGUUAGGAUAUGGGCCUACCAUGGUGACCACGGGUGACGGGGAAUCAGGGUUCGAUUCCGGAGAGGGAGCCUGAGAAACGGCUACCACAUCCAAGGAAGGCAGCAGGCGCGCAAAUUACCCAAUUCUAAAGAAGAGAGGUAGUGACAAGAAAUAAUAGGACAAGACUAAUUUUUUAGUUUUGUAUCUGUGCUGAUAGAAUUUUAAAACCAUUCUAAAAUUCCAUUGGAGGGCAAGUCUGGUGCCAGCAGCCGCGGUAAUUCCAGCUCCAAUAGCGUAUAUUAAAGUUGCUGCAGUUAAAAAGCUCGUAGUUGGAUCUCAAA